GGGUGGGCUUAUCUUUUCCUGAAGAUCUGGUGUUCCCCAAAGAAAGCAUCUGUCCAGAAGGAAGUGGCAGUGAUUCAAAUUGCUAUCUUCCCCUCUAAGUUAUUAUCCUAGAGAGUACCAGGGCAGGAAGCAACAUCAUGUUCAUGAAGCAACUGGUGUGGGUGGGGUGGUGGGGUGGCUGAGCCCUAUAGUUACAGGCAGUGGGCAUUUCUUUCCCCAGUAAUGCACCAGGAAAAGGAUACAAAAUCAUGAUGUUGUGUUCUGCCUUGGUGCAUAUUAGGGCAAGAAGAUGGAGGGAAGGGCAACAAUUUGCAUCACUGCUGCUGCCUUCUUGGCAGACGCUUUCUCGGGGAACCAUGGUUCUUCAGGAAAGGAAAGGGCUCCCAUAAUCCUCCUCCAAUAGAUUUGAGGAUGCAGUGCUGAUAUGUUGAGGCAUUGCACUGAAUCUAUUUGUGCUAUCAGGGAAAUAAAUAUUUCAUCGGAAUCAUUUCCAGUGAAAAAUGCUCCAAUUGAGACUGUAUCAAAUCAGAUUUGAUUAUUGUUUCGAUUCACCUCACAACGUUCUUCAGAGAAGUCUUUUCAAGGUGCCUUUUCAAAUAGCUCAGCUUCUGUACAUUGAUUAUAGCAACAUCUUUGACACAAUUUGAGCUGUGUAGCUCAGAUUGCAGUAGUGGUGGUGGUGGUGUGGAGGGGAGAUAUGGGGGCCUUUAAAUGAAAUUUACAAGACCAGCCCCCUGACUUAACCCAGUUUUAGCCAAAUUGUACCUCCUGUAACCUUCUCAAAACAACGGCUAAAGGGACCGUCACAAAGGAUAAGCAGAGUGAAUCAUCCUAUCCCCACCAUUUAUUUAUUUAUUUAUUUAUUUAUUUAUUUAUUUAUUUAUUUUAACUGCAUGCUCCAUUUCUGUUCUGCUCUGCCAAGGAGACAGAAUGUUGUACACAAAGCUUUUUCCUGUUUUAGCCCCAUAUCAGCCCUGUGAGGUAGGUUGAGCUGAGAAAGUGACUCAUCCAAGAUCAGCCAGUGAACUUUAAAGGGCGCCUCAGAUGCAAAGAAUGCCUCAUGGAAGUUCACCGUGUUGGCUGUGUCACUCACGUCGGCAGAUGCGAAACCAACGGAGCGUGUAUGGCUGUCAUCAUCAGCAAAAACGUGCCAGAAAAAGUGUGUGUCAGAAAUCUCAUGAGAGUGGCAGAACCCUCGCGAGAGUUCCUGGCAGGAGGCGGUUGGCCAGCCGGCUCACUCGACCUUGCCAGAAGAGGCGGGCAGUUUGGGCAGACGGUGGAGCUGCGUGCAUGGCAGGAGGCGGUUGGCUGGCUGGUGGACUCAGCCUUGCCGGAGGAGGCAGCCGGCCGGCGGAGAGGGAAAGCAGCUUUGGCUAGUGCACCAGUGGCAUCCCUUUCUCAAGAAGCCAGAUUACGGUUAUACUCCAAUAUCAUAUUUUAAAAAGAAGGGGGUGAAAUACCGUGUCUAUGGAUGCUCCACACCUCACUCCUAUCGCUGUGGAAUGACAAAGAAGCUAAGUGGCCAUACAUUGACCAUCAAAUGCUGCUCAGAGCAGCACAUUUGUAACAAAAAAUUCCAGUAGAGCAUUGGUGAUGCUUUGCCACAAACAAGUGAAAAUGUACA